UAGUUCAUAGGUGAGUACCCCGAUUAUAGUCGGAUGUACUCAUAUUUCCAUUCGGGAAGGUUCAACCUGGAAGAUAGCGAAGAUAUGGAUGAGGUUGCAA
rfam:Methanosarcina acetivorans str. C2A, complete genome.